AGUGAACGCUGGCGGUAGGCCUAACACAUGCAAGUCGAACGGCAGCACAGUAAUAGCUUGCUCUUACGGUUGGCGAGUGGCGGAUGGGUGAGGAAUACAUCGGACUCUACUUUUUCGUGGGGGAUAACGUAGGGAAACUUACGCUAAUACCGCAUACGACCUACGGGUGAAAGCAGGGGAUCUUCGGACCUUGCGCGAUUGAAUGAGCCGAUGUCGGAUUAGCUAGUUGGCGGGGUAAAGGCCCACCAAGGCGACGAUCCGUAGCUGGUCUGAGAGGAUGAUCAGCCACACUGGAAAUGAGAAACGGUCCAGACUCCUACGGGAGGCGGCAGUGGGGAAUAUUGGACAAUGGGCACAAGCCUGAUCCAGCCAUACCGCGUGGGGGAAGAAGGACUUCGGGUUGUAGAGCGCUUUUGUUGGGAAAGAAAAGCAGCAGGUUAAUACCGCGCUGUUCUGACGGUACCUAAAGAAUAAGCACCGGCUAACUUCGUG
rnacentral:rRNA from 1 species